rnacentral:rRNA from 1 species
CAAUAGCGUAUAUUAAAGUUGUUGCAGUUAAAAAGCUCGUAGUUGAACUUUGGGCCUGGCAGGCCGGUCCGCUUUUUGGCGAGUACUGACCCUGCCGGGCCUUUCCUUCUGGCUAACCUCCCCUCUGGAGAGGCGAACCAGGACUUUUACUUUGAAAAAAUUAGAGUGUUCAAAGCAGGCCUUUGCUCGAAUGUAUUAGCAUGGAAUAAUAGAAUAGGACGUUUGGUUCUAUUUUGUUGGUUUCUAGGACCAUCGUAAUGAUUAAUAGGGACGGUCGGGGGCAUCAGUAUUCAGUUGUCAGAGGUGAAAUUCUUGGAUUUACUGAAGACUAACUACUGCGAAAGCAUUUGCCAAGGACGUUUUCAUUAA